GCUCGCUUUGCGAGUGAGUGGAGAGUGGCGCACGGGUGAGUAACACGUAGCAAUCUGCCCUAGAGAGCGGGACAACACUGGGAAACCAGUGCUGAUACCGCAUAAGCUCACGUUGAGUGAGAAAAGAUUCAGGUGCUCUAGGAUGAGGCUGCGGUCCAUCAGUUAGUUGGUGGGGUAAAGGCCUACCAAGGCAACGACGGAUAGGGGUCCUGAGAGGGUGGUCCCCCACACUGGAACUGAGACACGGUCCAGACUCCUACGGGAGGCAGCAGUGAGGAAUAUUGCACAAUGGGCGCAAGCCUGAUGCAGCGACGCCGCGUGGGUGAAGAAGGUUUUCGGAUCGUAAAGCCCUUUUCUAGGUGACGAGGAAGGACGGUAGCCUAGGAAAAAGUCUCGGCUAACUACGUGCCAGCAGCCGCGGUAAAACGUAGGAGGCAAGCGUUAUCCGGAGUUACUGGGCGUAAAGAGCGUGUAGGCGGGCGGACAAGUCCGGCGUGAAAGCUCCCGGCUAAACUGGGAGAGGUCGUUGGAAACUGUGUGUCUGGGGUCUGAUAGAGGGAUGUGGAAUUCCGGGUGUAGUGGUGAAAUGCGUAGAUAUCCGGAGGAACACCAGUGGCGAAGGCGGCAUCCUGGGUCAGUACCGACGCUGAGACGCGAAAGCAUAGGUAGCGAACGGGAUUAGAAACCCCGGUAGUCUAUGCCGUAAACGAUGCACACUAGGUGUUCGGUUGACUACGGUUGACCGAGUGCCGCAGCAAACGCGAUAAGUGUGCCGCCUGGGGAGUACGGUCGCAAGGCUAAAACUCAAAGGAAUUGACGGGGGCCCGCACAAGCAGCGGAGCGUGUGGUUUAAUUCGAGGCUACGCGAAGAACCUUACCUGGGCUUGACAUAUAGGUAGUAGAGAACCGAAAGGGGAUCGACCUUCGGGAGCCUAAACAGGUGCUGCAUGGCUGUCGUCAGCUC
rnacentral:rRNA from 1 species